GGGACUGUGGCUCAGUGGCAGAGUGCUUGCCUCACAUGUGUGAGGCACUGAGUUCAAUCCUCAGCACCA
rnacentral:tRNA from 1 species